GCGGCGUGCUUCAUACAUGCAAGUCGAACGAGAAGCAGGAGCUUGCUCCUGUGGAAAGUGGCGGACGGGUGAGUAACACGUAGGAAAUCUGCCUUUGGGUGGGGGACAACAGUUGGAAACGACUGCUAAUACCCCAUAUGAGCUUGGUUGCAAUACCAAUCUUGAAAACUCCGGUGCCUAAAGAUGAGCCUGCGUCUGAUUAGCUUGUUGGCGGGGUAAUGGCCCACCAAGGCGACGAUCAGUAGCUGGUUUGAGAGGAUGAUCAGCCACAAUGGGACUGAGACACGGCCCAUACUCCUACGGGAGGCAGCAGUAGGGAAUUUUGCGCAAUGGGGGAAACCCUGACGCAGCAACGCCGCGUGAAUGACGAAGCCCUUCGGGGUGUAAAGUUCUGUCAGUAGGGAAGAAUUUUGACUGUACCUACAAAGGGAGCACCGGCUAACUCCGUGCCAGCCGCCGCGGUAA
rnacentral:rRNA from 1 species